rnacentral:misc_RNA from 1 species
ACGUACAUUUCGCUUUACCUGCGAUUGGAUUUGCGCAUUUGCUGGUUGUGCAGUAAACUUUCGGUUGGGUAGUUUGUGGAAGGAAUACUGCUGUGCUAGUUCUGUGAUGCAAGUAAACUGUUGAGGCCUGGAAGUUUGUGUUGGAAGCCUCACAAGUUCCAUAGCUGGGGUUCCGGUUCCAGUGUCAGUAGGUACUAAAAUUUAUUGGAAAUGGCACUUUUGCCUCCUGGGUAGUGCAUAUUGAUUAUUUCAUUUUCAUUUUCGAGUAACACCAUAUCAGGAUGUGUGACGCGCCAGGAGCCGUGGAGAAGCCGCCGACCUGCGCGGAACAGACCAGCACCAGCACGGACAAAGACAGCUCAGAGGCGGGCGCCGAGUCCAACCGUGACUCCGGCUAUGGACCCUCCACCGGCACGCAGAGAAGCAGUACAAACAGCUCGUUUAGCCGCGGCUGUUUCUCUGGCGAGGAGAGUCAUCGCUCCAGUGGCAGUGAGACAAGCAGCGGCCGGCUGGCGCUGGCCCCGGGCGCGGCGCCCAGCGCCCCGACCGGUCACCCGGCGCCCGCGGGCACCAAGGCCGCCAGGCAGCUGAGCGGAGCGGCCGCCGACUCGGGCCUCACGCCCUCAGAGGAUAAGAGCGUUGAAGAUUCUUUCCAGGCGGCGCUACAGAAGGGAGCCUACCAACAUGUCAUGUCAUACGUGCGGAAAAUCCUGGAGUGGGAAAAAGCGCGUGUGGGCGAGGUGAGCUCCUCGGUACCGGCCUCCUCUGCUGAGAAGGAGGACAGCGCCGGAGCGUCGGCCGAGGACAGCGAGCCGCCAGCGCGUCUGGAGGUGCUGGUCAGCCUGCGCAAGGGCACUGUGGUGCGCACCUCCGGCAGCAUGGCCGAGCUGCUAGGCUACCCACCAGACAUGUGGGUGGGUCGCAGCUUCAUCGACUACAUCUACCCGCGGGACCGCGCCUCCUUCACCAACACCAUCAACGACAUGGGAGUCGACGUGGAUGGCCUCAUCAGCAACAAAGACGGCUCCACUAGCUCCAGUCAGCUGUUCUGCCGGCUGCGCCAUCACCGCGGACUCAAGUCGGUCGGUUUUAACGUGGUCAGCCACUCGCACAUCUACCGGCCCUUCCAGCUGCGGAUCCUGUUCCACGACCUGAAGCUGGACCAGCUCAGCGGCGAGGGUCCGUGCAUCCUGGUGGUGGCUGACGUGCUCCAGCCGGCAUACAAGUCCACGCCAGAGGGCGUCCACCCGGGUUUCCGUAACCUGGACUUUUCGAUGCGCCACACUGCCCAGUGCCGCGUCGACCAGUACGACUCUCAGGGUAUCACGCUUCUAGGCUUCCUGCCGCAGGACGUGGUUGGUCGGAGCAUGGUCGAUCUCUUCCAUCCGGAGGACCUGCCCGCCAUCAAAGACGUCUACAGGAAAGUGACCCAGCGUACGGGCACGCCGUUCCGUAGUCGCCCGUACCGCCUGCGGGCCCAUAACGGCUGCUACGUCGGCAUGGAAACCGACUGGAGCUGCUUCGUCAACCCCUGGUCCAACCGCAUCGAGGCAGUCAUCUGCAAACACAGAGUCAUCAAGGCGCCGAGCAACCUCAACAUCUUUGACGAAGAUGAGGAGGAUGGAGCCGACUGUGCCGACAAGCUGAUGCUCAGGAACAGUCACCGGGUUGAUAUCGAGAACAUUCUCUCCAAGGCGCUGCCGGCGGCCGACAGCAAGGCCUCGUACCUGACACAGCGCCGCCGCCGACUGGUGGCUCUCAUGGAGAGUCUCAUCAGCGACCUCGAGGAAACUGUCGACCAGCCGGCUACGCCAGACCAGGACCACACGUCCGUGCCCGGUGACGUGUCGCCGCACACGUCUGAGCGCGGCUCGCCUGCGCCCAUCUCAGUCAGCGUGCCCAACUACGUCCAGCUCAACUACAAGGAGACCAUCAACAGAUUUUUCGAAUCUCAUCCGAAAACAGCGAUUGGCUCCUCGGACGAGUCUGACUCGAGAAAUGACAGCAUUGGCGUGGCUGGCCCGUCCUCAGGUAGACGUACCGCGGCGGUGGCCUCAGCGAGUCUGGACUCGCCGCAGCCGGGCCCCAGCGGGGUGUCGGUACCGACUGGCGGGUCGCGUCACUCGCCGCCGCCGCCGCUCACCAGCUACCACCACCAGCCGCUGACACAGGCCGUGCUCGACAGACACAAUGCUGAUAUGGAAAAGAACAUGCGCCAGUCUCUGGGACCGAAGAAGCAUAUUUGUCACAGCAGCAAGUGUAAGAUGAUCAAACACAACAGCUGCAGCGAACCCAAGAAGGGUCUGGACGAGUUUGAACAGGAGCGUCGGCACGCGAUGCUCAACACGGCCGGCUGGCCGGCGCCCAGUGUGUUCUGGCCGCCGUUCUCCGCCUGCCUGACCGGACCCGGAGCGCUGGCUGGUGUCGGAGCGGCCGGUGUGAGCCAGUGGUUGGGCGCCGCCGGACCGGCCGGCGCGCUCCGGCCGCACGGCGUGGCCGUGUUUCAGCCGGUGGAGCCGCCGCCCGUGCCGCCGCAGCCGCAUCACGUUCUGCUGGGCCCGCUGUGCCAGCCACCUCAGCUGAUGGGCGGCCUGAUGGCGGCCUUUUCCACCGCUCCUCCCCCGGCCGCCGCCGCCGCUGCUGCUGCCGCCGCCUCCCGGAAGCGCCCCGUGUCCCUAUCGCUGUCGGUGUCGGCACGGGGAGGUCUGUCGUCGGGAGAGCAGAGCGGAGACUGCACCACCACCACGUCUGAGAGUCUCCGUAAGAUGAACCUGGAUAGCGACGAGGAUCUAUCGAAAGAGAAGCGCGGCAGUGACCUCACGUUCAGCGACUCCAGUCUCUCCUCGGCUCUGAGGGACGUGGACGGUGUCGGAGACGGAUCCAACUUCGGCUGGCCGAGUUACCACCCGCGUCACGCCGCCGCUGUCCGUGAUGAGGACCAGCCAGCGGGCUACGGGCCGUCGUCCUCGCAGAUGGAGGAACCCAAACAAAAGCCGGUUCUCAUGGACCCGCCGUGGCUGGUGGCCGUCAGUCAGACCUGCGAGCUCACCAAACAGUACCAGCUGGAGCCGCGCAACCUGCAGGAGGUGCUCGAGCAGGACAGACUCGCUCUGACUCAGAUGACUCAGCCCGCGACCCUGACGGAGCAGCUCAGCCAGCUGUACCAGGACCUACAGACGGUCGGCGCUCCGUCCGUGCUGAACCUGGAGGAACGCGACCCGACCAGCGGAUCCUCGGACGAGUCGAGCGCCAUCCUCGGAAAAAGGCCGUUUGCGCUGGCGCGGCCCGUGGUGGCGCCCAAACAGUGCCGAAAGCGGCGCGCCGAGAGGCGUCAGCGCGCCGCCUACAUCCGGCGACAGCGCGCGCGGCUGCGGCUGCCGCACCAGGUGCACUGACAGCGACCGAGGCGCGCCGCCGGCCGGCCGCGCCGCGCACAGACCGACCACGGCCCACGGGGGGCAGAGGAACAGGACUCGGCGGGACCCGUGCUUGACGGACGGACAACCACGGACGGCUGGACGACCUCGGACGCGCAGCCGCGGACUCGCUAGGACGACCAGCCGCUCAUCUUGCGAAUAGGCGACGGAUGGGCGCCGAGAGGAGAGACGCCGAGACGCAGCGAUGACUUGGUGUCUGACGGGUUGGCGGUCACGGCGCCGCUGCAGAGCUUAGCCUUGCUGUCCUCUCUCCGGGAUGGGGAGUGAUGGAAACCGCUGGCUGGUGGCGACGCUCUUACAGUUUGAGUUUUUAGAGUAUACCCAGCUUAUAAGUUUUACAUGCUUAUAGAUUUAUGCGACUUUUACUGCAGGUGAACUGUAGUUUCAACCCCUCAGGACAAGAGUUUUUACGAAAAAGUCAUACAUUAUUUCAUGCGAUGGGGAGCACUUUGCCCAUUUAAGCCACGAUUGGAGUGACAUUGUUUUUCAGUGGCAGAUGUCAGCCUUUGACCCCUGGUGGGUACAUGCCGGGCAGAUGAUGGCUUCAUGAGUACAGACCCCCGGGUGGCCGGUCCACCCCGGCGGGAUUGCUGUCGGCAGACGAGACUGUGUGUCGAUUGGAUGAACCGUCGGUCCCAAACUGUGUCCCUUGUCAGCAUUCUUUCGGUGAACGUUUGCUGUCGCUGCGCCCCUUUUACCUCGCAGAACAUCAUGAAGGUAAAUGCAUUAAAUGUUAUUUAAAUACCCUUGAUUCAAUGACAUUUCACCUCCCGGAAAGGUUUCGAUGUAUUGCCUUUCGUACGCUGCUUUUGAUGUGACAAUAAAUGUGAGCAUGAUAUUUGUUCUGUA